CAGUCCCGCGGGAAUACGAAGGGUGCAAGCGUUACUCGGAAUUACUGGGCGUAAAGCGUGCGUAGGUGGUGGUUUAAGUCCGUUGUGAAAGCCCUGGGCUCAACCUGGGAAUUGCAGUGGAUACUGGAUCACUAGAGUGUGGUAGAGGAUAGCGGAAUUUCCGGUGUAGCAGUGAAAUGCGUAGAGAUCGGAAGGAACAUCUGUGGCGAAGGCGACUAUCUGGGCCAACACUGACACUGAGGCACGAAGGCGUGGGGAGCAAACAGGAUUAGAUACCCCGGUAGUCCCUGUCUCUUAUACA
rnacentral:rRNA from 1 species